rnacentral:rRNA from 1 species
GAUGAACGCUGGCGGCGUGCCUAAUACAUGCAAGUCGAGCGAAAAGACGAGGAGCUUGCUCCUUUGACGUUUGCGGAGGACGGGUGAGUAACACGUGGGACACCUACCUAUCAUACUGGGAUCACUUGGGAAAACCGGAGCUAACACCGGAUGAUAUUUCGAACCGUAUGGUUCGAUAGUGAAAGAUGGCUUUUCUGUAUGUUAUAGCUGCUCAUGCGCCGUAUUAGCUGGUUGGUGAGGUCACAGCUUACGAAGGGAACGAGGCGUAGCCGACAUGAGAGGGUGGUCGGCCGCCCUGGAACUGAGACACGCUCCAGAGGCCUAGGGGAGGGAGCAGUAGGGAAUCUGGCGCAAGGGGCGAAAGCCUGACGGAGCAACGCCGCGGGAGUGAGGAAGGUCGUCGGAUCGGAAAUCUCUGUUAUUAGGUAAGAACAAGCGUGUAAGUGACUGUGCACGUCUGUACGGUAACUAAGCAGAGAGCCACCGCUAACUUCGUU